rnacentral:rRNA from 1 species
GACGAACGCUGGCGGCGUGCCUAAUACAUGCAAGUAGAACGCAGUUGCGAACGGGUGAGUAACGAGUAGGUAACCUGCCUCAUAGCGGGGGAUAACUAUUGGAAACGCUAGCUCAUACCGCAUACUGUGAGAUGGCCCUGCGUUGUAUUAGCUAGUUGGUGAGGUAAAGGGUCACCAAGGCGACGAUACAUAGCCGACCUGAGAGGGUUAUCGGCCACCAGGUGAGUGAGAGACGGACCAGGACGCUAAGGGAGGGAGCCGUAAGGAAUCUUGGGCAAUGGACUGAAGUCUGACCGAGCAGCGAGGGGUGGGUUAAGAAGGUUUUCGGGUAAUAAAGCUCCGUUGUUAGCGUAGCGGUAGCCAACGAGAAAGGGACGGCUAACUACGAUACAGCAGCCGCGGUAAUUC